UACGUAGGGUGCAAGCGUUGUCCGGAAUUAUUGGGCGUAAAGAGCUCGUAGGCGGUCUGUCGCGUCGGAUGUGAAAACUCGGGGCUCAACCCCGGGCCUGCAUUCGAUACGGGCAGACUAGAGUUCGGCAGGGGAGACUGGAAUUCCUGGUGUAGCGGUGAAAUGCGCAGAUAUCAGGAGGAACACCGGUGGCGAAGGCGGGUCUCUGGACAGUUCCUGACACUGAGGCACGAAGGCCAGGGGAGCAAACGGG
rnacentral:rRNA from 1 species